rnacentral:rRNA from 1 species
GUACUGAGACACGGACCAGACUCCUACGGGAGGCAGCAGUGGGGAAUUUUGGACAAUGGGGGCAACCCUGAUCCAGCAAUGCCGCGUGAGUGAAGAAGGCCUUCGGGUUGUAAAGCUCUUUUGUCAGGGAAGAAACAGCAGCUCUAACACAGUCUGCGAAUGACGGUACCUGAAGAAUAAGCACCGGCUAACUACGUGCCAGCAGCCGCGGUAAUACGUAGGGUGCAAGCGUUAAUCGGAAUUACUGGGCGUAAAGCGUGCGCAGGCGGUUAUACAAGACAGGCGUGAAAUCCCCGGGCUUAACCUGGGAAUGGCGUCUGUGACUGUAUGACUAGAGUGUGUCAGAGGGGGGUAGAAUUCCACGUGUAGCAGUGAAAUGCGUAGAUAUGUGGAGGAAUACCAAUGGCGAAGGCAGCCCCCUGGGAUAACACUGACGCUCAUGCACGAAAGCGUGGGGAGCAAACAGGAUUAGAUACCCUGGUAGUCCACGCCCUAAACGAUGCCGACUAGUUGUUGGGAAUUUACAUUCUCAGUAACGUAGCUAACGCGUGAAGUCGGCCGCCUGGGGAGUACGGUCGCAAGAUUAAAACUCAAAGGAAUUGACGG